ACACACGAAGUCAGAGACUACAGGGUGACUGGGAAACAUGAAGGCACAGACACCAUGGGGAGUGUCACAGAAGAAGUCACAGAUGCAAUGUGGAGUGUUACACAGGAAGUCAGAGAAACAAUAUGUUGUAUUACACAUGAACUCAGAGACGCCAUGGGUAGAGUUACACAUGAAGUACAAGAGGAUAUGAUGAGUGUUACACUUGAUUUCAGAGAUGCCAGGGGAAUUGUGAAACACGAAGUAGGAGACGCCAUGGGGAGUGUUACAUACGAAGUCGCUGAUGCCAGAGGAAACGUUAUGCGUGAAUACACAGACACCCCUCUGAGUAUUACUCACAAAUUUAAAGAAGCCACAUGGGCUGUUACACACAGUGUCGCAGAAACCAGGGGUAGUGUUACACAAGUCAGAGAUGCUACAUGGAAUGUCACAUAUGAAGUCCUCGACAUGGUGGGUAUUGGGACACAAAGUCAGAGAUGCCAGGGGUGUGUGACACAAGAAAUCAGAGAUGCCGCCUGGAAUGUUAUACAAGAAGUCAGAGAGGCAAAGGGAAGAGUUAGACAAGAAGUCAGAGACAUCACAGGAAGUGUUACACAUGAAGUCAGAGACACCAGGGUGACUGUUACAGACAAAGUCAGAAAUGCCACAGGGAGUGUUACACACGAAAGCAGACUCAGCAUGGGGAGUGUUACACAUGAAAUCAGAGACAUCAGGUGUAUUGUGACAAACAAGAGCAGAGAACACUGGAGGAGUGUGACACAAAGUCAGAGACACCAAGGGUGUUUUUACAAAUGAAGUCAAAGACACCAGGGGGAGUAUUUCACACAAAGUCAGAGAGGCCAGGGGACAUGUUAGACAUGAAAUCAAGAUGGCAUGGGAAGUGUUACACGUGAAAACAGAGUCACCAGGGCAAUCGUUACACGCAAAGUCAGAGAUGCCACAGGGAAUGUUACACAUGAAGUCAGAGAUGGCAGCGGGACUGUGAGACAUGAAUCCAGAGACGUCAGUGGGAGUAUUACACAACUAGUCAGAGAUGCCUGGGGAGUUUUACACAUGAAGUCACAGAUGCCACGGGAAAGUUUUACACACAAAGGAAGAAAUAGCACGUGUAGUUUUACACACAAAGUCAGAGACAUCUGAGGGAAUCUUAUACAUGAAGUCAGAAAAGCCAUGUAGUGUGCUACACAAAAAUUCUGUGAUGCCAGGGGCACUAUUACAGACAAAGUCAGAGAUACCACAGGGCAGUGUUAGGCAGGAAGUCAAACACACAGGGGGACUGUUAAUCAGGCAUUCAGAGACCCCACAGUGAGUGUGACACUGGAAGUGACAGUUGAAAGAUCGAGUAUGACAUGGGAAGUCACAGAUGCCACCUGGAAUGUUACACCUGAAGUGAGAACACAUGUAGGAGUGUAACACAAGAAGUUAUAGAUGGGAGGGGAAGUGUGACACAUGCAGUCUGACACACCAUAGGGAGAAUUACACUGGAAUUCAGAGACUACAGGUGGAGUGUUAAACACGAAGUCAGAGAUGCCAGGGCAAGUGUUACCCACCAAGUCAGAGACGCCGUGUGUGGUGUUACAGGAAGUCAGACACCAGGGGGAGUGUUAUAAAGAAAAUCAGAGAUGCCAUGGUGUUACACAUGCAGUUCAAAAUGCCAGGAAGUGUAUGACACAUGAAGGCAGAGACACAUUGUAGAGUGUUACACACGAAGUCCAAGAGGCCAGGGGGAAUGUGACACAAGAAGUCAGACAUGCCAGUGGGAGUGUUACACACGAAGUCAGAGAUACAGGGGGAGUUUUAUGAUUUCAGGGAUGCCAUGGGGAGUGUUACGCAUGAAGUCAAAUUCACCAGGUGGAGUGUAACGCACGAAGUCAGAGAACCAGGGCAAGUGUUACACACAAACUCAAAGACACCAGGGAGAGGGUGACACACGAAGUCAGAGACCAAAUGGGGUGUGUGACAAAGUCAGAGAUGCCACAUGGAGUGUUACAUACGGAGUCCGGGACAACAUGGGGGAGUGUUACAUGGGGCCUGGGGGAGUUUUACACAUGACGGCAGAAACGCAAUGUGGAGUGUAACACAGGAAGUUAGAGACGCCAUUGGGAAUGUGCCACAUGAAGACAGAUACACCAAGUGUGUUGCACAUGAAUUCAGAGACACCAAGUGUAGUGUGACACACGAAGUCAGAGAUGAUAGGUCAAGUGUGAACCUUGAAGUUAGAGACACCAUGGGGAAUGUUACACACAAAUCCAGACACCCCAGGUAGAGUGUUAUACACAAAGUCAGAGACUCCACUGGGAGUGUUGGACACAAAGGUAUAGACGGCUGGGGCAGUGUGAUGCAUGAAUUCAGAGACACAAGGGGUAGUGUGUUACAUACAGCAUCAGAGAUGCCUCCAGGAGUGUGGCACACAAAGUCAGAGACACCAGAGGAAAUGUGACAAACGAAGUAGAGCUGCCACAGGAAGUGUACCAAAGUCAGAGGUGAAGUGUAACUCAUGAAGUCAGAAACCCCAGGGGGCUGUGACACACAAAAUCAGAGAUGCAACAGUGAAUGUUACAUGCUAAGUUGGAGACAACAGUGGUGUGUGACACACAGAGUCAAUAAUGACAUGUCGAGUGUGACCCUUGAAGUCAGACAUCACAGGGAAUGUUUCACACAACAUCAGAGAUGCCAGACGGAGUGUUACACACGAUGCCAGAGAGGCCACCUGGAAUGUUACACAUGGAAUCAGAGGUGACAGUCUGAGAGUUACAAACGAAGUUAAAGACACCAGGGAGAAUGAGAUGCAUGAUGUCAGAGACGUGAGGGGCAGUGUGAGACAUGAAGUCAGUGACGCCUGGGGGAGUGUGAUACACGAAGGCAGAGAUGCCAGAGUGUGCAACACAUGAAGUCACAGACACCCGAGGGAGUGUGAUACAUGAAGUCAGUGAAGCCUGGAGGAGUGUGACACACGAUGUCAGACACUGCAUGGGGAUUGCUACACACAAAGUCAUGAUGCCAAGGGGUGUGUGACACACGAAGUUAGUGAUGAAAGGGGGAGUGUUACACAUGAAGUCAGAGACACCACAGGGCUGUGUUACACAAGAAGUCAGAAGCAACUGGUUGGUUGAGAUACACUAAGUCAGAGAGAAGAAGCGGAGUGAGACACACAACGUCAGAGAAGUGAUGGGGAGGGUUACACACGAUGUCAGAGACACUUGAAGGAGGGUUACACACAAAGUGAGAGAC
ensembl:lncRNA